CCUACGGGUGGCAGCAGUGGGGAAUAUUGCACAAUGGGGGAAACCCUGAUGCAGCGACGCCGCGUGAGGGAAGAAGUCCUUCGUUAUGUAAAGCUCUAUCAGCAGGGAAGAAAAUGACGGUACCUGAGUAAGACUCCCCGGCUCACUACGUUCCAGCAGCCGCGGUAAUACGGAGGGGGCCAGCGUUAUCCGGAUUUACUGGGUGUAAAGGGAGCGUAGACGGCAGUGCAAGUCUGGAGUGAAAGGCCGGGGCUCAACCCCCGGACUGCCCUGGAAACUGUACGGCUGGAGUGCAGGAGAGGUAAGUGGAAUUCCUAGUGUAGCGGUGAAAUGCGUAGAUAUUAGGCGGAACACCAGUGGCGAAGGCGGCUUACCGGACUGUAACUGACGUUGAGGCUCGAAAGCGUGGGGAGCAAACAGGAUUAGAUACCCGUGUAGUC
rnacentral:rRNA from 1 species